AGCUCUCCGAGUGGUAGGGAUGUUUAUUGGGCUUAAAGCGUCCGUAGCCGGCUCAGCAAGUCCUCCGUUAAAUCCACCGAUUCAAUCGUUGGACUGCGGGGGAUACUGUUGGGCUUGGGGACGGGAGAGGCCGACGGUAUUCCCGGAGUAGGGGUGAAAUCCUAUAAUUCCGGGAGGACCACCAGUGGCGAAGGCUGUCGGCUAGCACGCGCCUGACGGUGAGGGACGAAAGCUGGGGGAGCGAACCGGAUUAGAUACCCGUGUAGUCC
rnacentral:rRNA from 1 species